rnacentral:rRNA from 1 species
AGAGUUUGAUCCUGGCUCAGAACGAACGCUGGCGGCAUGCCUAACACAUGCAAGUCGAACGAGACCUUCGGGUCUAGUGGCGCACGGGUGCGUAACGCGUGGGAAUCUGCCCUUAGGUUCGGAAUAACUUCGGGAAACUGAAGCUAAUACCGGAUGAUGACGUAAGUCCAAAGAUUUAUCGCCUAAGGAUGAGCCCGCGUUGGAUUAGCUAGUUGGUGAGGUAAAGGCUCACCAAGGCGACGAUCCGUAGCUGGUCUGAGAGGAUGAUCAGCCACACUGGGACUGAGACACGGCCCAGACUCCUACGGGAGGCAGCAGUGGGGAAUAUUGGACAAUGGGCGAAAGCCUGAUCCAGCAAUGCCGCGUGAGUGAUGAAGGCCUUAGGGUUGUAAAGCUCUUUUACCCGGGAUGAUAAUGACAGUACCGGGAGAAUAAGCCCCGGCUAACUCCGUG